GCAAGAUACCACGGGCGCACGGCGGAUGCCUUGGCACAGGGAGCCGAUGAAGGACGCGGCAAGCUGCGAUAAUCCCCGGCGAGGAGCACACAUCCUUCGACCCGGGGGUCUCCGAAUGGGCGAACCCAUCCACGGAAGCGUGGAUAUCCCGACCCCGAACACAUAGGGGCCGGGAGGACAACCCGGGGAACUGAAACAUCUAAGUACCCGGAGGAGAGGAAAUCAAUCUCGAGACUCCCCGAGUAGCGGCGAGCGAAAGGGGACCGAUGGCCAAACCGUCGAGCGGGCAUACCCGGCAGGGGUUCCGCCGACGGGGUUGCAGGGCCGCGCAUCCGGGGGCUGCCGCCCCCGGGCGCAGGUCCGGCUGGGGAGCGGAACGGCAUGGGAGGGCCGGCCGCAGCGGGUGACAGCCCCGUACGCGAACCCAGACCGGACGGCGCGACGCGGUCCCUGAGUAGGGCCGGGCACGUGAAACCCGGUCCGAACCUGGGUGGACCACCAUCCAAGCCUGAGUACUACCCUGUGACCGAUAGCGCACCAGUACCGUGAGGGAAAGGUGAAAAGCACCCCGGGAGGGGAGUGAAACAGUACCUGAAACCGUGCGCCCACGAGCAGUCGGAGCACCUUUAUGGUGUGACGGCGUGCCUUUUGUAGAAUGAGCCAGCGAGUCGCUGGCGCGGGGCGAGGUUAACCGAAAGGGAGCCGGAGCGAAAGCGAGCCUUAACAGGGCGACUUGAGUCCCGCGCCGCGGACGCGAAGCCGGGUGAGCUAUCCGUGGGCAGGCUGAAGCGGGGGUAAGACCCCGUGGAGGGCCGAACGCACGUCGGUUGAAAACGGCGGCGAUGACCUGCGGAUAGGGGUGAAAGGCCAAUCAAACCCGGAGAUAUCUCGUUCUCCCCGAAAUAGCUUUAGGGCUAGCGUCGCGCGUUCACCGCCGGAGGUAGAGCACCGGAUGGACGAGGGGGCUUCGCCGCCUACCGAAUCCAACCGAACUCCGAAUGCCGGCGGCCCAGAGCGCGGCAGUCAGAGCAUGUGGGCUAAGCUGUGUGCUCGAGAGGGAAACAGCCCGGACCGCCCGCUAAGGUCCCCAAGUUCCAGCCGAGUGGCAAAGGAUGUGCGUCCGCCCAGACAACCAGGAUGUUGGCUUAGAAGCAGCCAUCCAUUCAAAGAGUGCGUAACAGCUCACUGGUCGAGUGGACAUGCGCCGACAAUACACGGGGCUAAGCUGGACACCGAAGCGGCGGGAUUUUAAUUCAUUAGAAUCGGUAGGGGAGCUUCCCAUGGGCGGUGAAGCCGCCGGGCGACCGGCGGUGGAGCGCAUGGGAGUGAGAAUGCUGGCAUGAGUAGCGAGAGACGAGAGAGUAACUCGUCCGCCGUGAACCCGAGGUUUCCUGGGCAAGGCUAAUCCUCCCAGGGUCAGUCGGGGGCUAAGGCGAGGCCGGGAGGCGUAGCCGACGCGCAGCAGGCAGACAUUCCUGCACCGCGCACGCGGCGCUACGACCGACGGGGCGACGGAUGGGGGUGGCUCGGCGGGGUUCUGGACGUCCCCGUGAUGGAGCGCGGCCCGCGGACCAGGGAAAUCCGGUCCGCACGAGGGCGAGGCUCCGGACGAAGCGAUCAAGCGAAGCGAGUGAGCCCGAGGUCCCUAGAAAAACCCCUAGGCAGGCGCGUGCGCGCCCGUACCGCAAACCGACACAGGUGGGUGGGUAGAACAUACCGAGGCGAUCGGGUCAACCAUGGUCAAGGAACUCGGCACAAUGGCCCCGUAACUUCGGGAGAAGGGGUGCCCGCGCGUACGUGAACGGACUUGCUCCGGGAGCGGAGGCGGGCCGCAGUGGAGAGGCCCAAGCGACUGUUUACCAAAAACACAGGACUCUGCAGAAGCCGCAAGGCGACGUAUAGGGUCUGACGCCUGCCCGGUGCCGGAAGGUCACGCGGAGGAGUUAGCCGUUAAGGCGAAGCCCCGAAGCCAAGCCCCGGUAAACGGCGGCCGUAACUAUAACGGUCCUAAGGUAGCGAAAUUCCUUGUCGGGUAAGUUCCGACCUGC
rnacentral:rRNA from 1 species